rnacentral:snRNA from 1 species
AUCCAUGCCUUGCAGGAGAAAUACCUUGUCAUAAAAGUGGUUUUUCCAGGGGGAGGCUCACCCAUUGCACUUUGGGUAUGCUGCUGAUUCCUGUGAUUUCCUCAAAUGUGGGCAACUCAAUUGCAUAAUUUGUGUUAAUGAGAGAUUGCACUUGUGGUUUCUCUGG